GAUGAACGCUGGCGGCGUGCCUAAUACAUGCAAGUCGAGCGAACGGACGAGAAGCUUGCUUUUCUUAUGUUAGCGGCGGACGGGUGAGUAACACGUGGAUAACCUACAUAUAAGACUGGGAUAACUUCGGGAAACCGGAGCUAAUACCGGUUAAUAUUUUGAACCGCAUGGUUCAAAAGUGAAAGACCGUCUUGCUGUCACUUAUAGAUGGAACCGCGCUGCAUUAGCUAGUUGGUAAGGUAACGGCUUACCAAGGCAACGAUGCAUAGCCGACCUGAGAGGAUGAUCGGCCACACUGGAACUGAGACACGGUCCAGACUCCUACGGGAGGCAGCAGUAGGGAAUCUUCCGCAAUGGGCGAAAGCCUGACGGAGCAACGCCGCGUGAGUGAUGAAGGUCUUCGGAUCGUAAAACUCUGUUAUUAGGGAAGAACAUAUGUGUAAGUAACUGUGCACAUCUUGACGGUACCUAAUCAGAAAGCCACGGCUAACUACGUG
rnacentral:rRNA from 1 species